GACGAACGCUGGCGGCGUGCCUAAUACAUGCAAGUUGAGCGCUGAAGGCUGGUACUUGUGCCAACUGGGUGUGCAGCGCACGGGUGAGUCACGCGUGUAACCUCUGCCUUUGUGCGGGGUACAACAUUUGGACACGAAUUCUAAUACCGCAUAAGAACUUUCUACACAGUGUUUAAGGUUGAAAGAUGCAAUUGCAUCACUCAAAGGUGAUCCCGCGGUGUAUUAGCUAGUUGGUGAGGUACAAGCUCAUCAAGGCGAGGAUACAUAGCAGACCUGACAGGGUGAUCGGCCACAUUGAGACUGAGACACGGCCCAAACUGCUACGGGAGGCAGCAGUAGGGAAUCGUGGGCAAGCGACGAAAGACAGAGCGAGAAACGCCGAGGGAGGGAAGAAGGACGUCGGAUCGUAAAUCUCGGUUGGUAGAGAGGAACGUGGGUGAGAGUGGAAAGCUCAGUAAGUGACGGUAAUGAGUAAGAAAGGGACGGCUAACUACGUG
rnacentral:rRNA from 1 species